AACGUUUGACCGUUCGUUUUAUUUGAAAUUUUUUUAUAAUUAGUAUUUUUAUUGUUAUUAGUAGAUGAUAAAACAUGAAAAAAAAUAUUUUGUCACUAUUUUUUUUAUUUUUUUAUAAACUUUUCAAAUAAGACGGAUGGUCAAAUGUU
rnacentral:pre_miRNA from 1 species